GUGCCAACUGUAAUCAACUGACUCCACAUGAGAAGGAAGUUUCCAGUUUAGAGGAAACUUCUGUUACCCUGAGCUACAAGUUUUCUGGACAAGCAGCUGCUAAUGAUUAUUUCUUCUGGUAUCGACAAUAUCCUGGAAAACCUCCAGAGUUCCUGAUCUCGUACUCUGGAACAGGACGCAAAAUGUUGGAUCCCGUUCCUGGUUUUUCUUUUAAAGUGAGUGAUGAUAAAACCCAGAUGGACCUGCUGAUCUCCUCUGCUGCACUGACAGAUUCUGCUGUGUACUACUGUGCUCUGCAGCCCACAGUGACAGGAAACACCAGAACUCUGUACAAGAACCUGCAAUAA